UACAGAGGGGGCAAGCGUUGUUCGGAAUUACUGGGCGUAAAGGGCGCGUAGGCGGCCUGUUAAGUCGAACGUGAAAUCCCCGGGCUCAACCCGGGAACUGCGUCCGAUACUGGCAGGCUUGAAUCCGGGAGAGGGAUGGGGAAUUCCAGGUGUAGCGGUGAAAUGCGUAGAUAUCUGGAGGAACACCGGUGGCGAAGGCGGCAUCCUGGACCGGUAUUGACGCUGAGGCGCGAAAGCCAGGGGAGCAAACGGG
rnacentral:rRNA from 1 species